rnacentral:lncRNA from 1 species
CUUAAGUCAUUGACCGUGACAGCUCAAAUAAGUCAAACUCACAUAUGGACCAUUAGUCCAUAAAGGUGGACCAUGCAGAAGAGAAAGAACCGGCAGAAACUCCAAGAGACCGAUGGCCGAGCUUCAAGGGACCAAGAGGUAAAUGCAAAUUUUACGCUAAGUAGAUUUAACACGGAGGAUGGGAAAGAACCGGCAAACAUGUAAGAGACCAAAAGGUGGAGGAUCUUCAGUUGAGUUGAUAAGGCAAAUGUCAGAGUUUGAGGUUUCGAUUCUGUAGUCAAAGGAGGGAGGUUCGGUUCAGUAU